rnacentral:rRNA from 1 species
AUACGUAGGGUGCGAGCGUUGUCCGGAAUUACUGGGCGUAAAGAGCUCGUAGGUGGUUUGUCGCGUCGUCUGUGAAAUUCCGGGGCUUAACUCCGGGCGUGCAGGCGAUACGGGCAUAACUUGAGUACUGUAGGGGAGACUGGAAUUCCUGGUGUAGCGGUGAAAUGCGCAGAUAUAAGGAGGAACACCGGUGGCGAAGGCGGGUCUCUGGGCAGUAACUGACGCUGAGGAGCGAAAGCAUGGGUAGCGAACAGGAUUAGAUACCCUGGUAGUCCAUGCCGUAAACGGUGGGCGCUAGGUGUAGGGGUCUUCCACGACUUCUGUGCCGUAGCUAACGCAUUAAGCGCCCCGCCUGGGGAGUACGGCCGCAAGGCUAAAACUCAAAGGAAUUGACGGGG